CAGUAGCGUAUAUUAAAGUUGUUGCAGUUGAAACGCUCGUAGUCGGACUUCUUUUCCACCCUUGUGGAAAAUCUGCUGAUCAUCUUGCUGAUCAUCACGAUCGGUAAGUCAAUGACAGCAUGUCACCUUGAGGAAAUUAAAGUGUUCAAGGCAGGCUUAGCCUGAAUACUGUAGCAUGGAAUGGCACCAUUGUGCAAACAAGAGGUGCGGGUGCUCUUGUGAGGCAAAGGUCGAUAGGGGGCAGUCGUGGGCAUUGGUACUGGGGCGUGAGAGGUGAAAUUCUUGGAUCGUCUCAAGACCAACGAAAGCGAAAGCAUCUGCCAAGGAUGUCUUCAUUGAUCAAGAACGAAGGUCAGGGUAUCGAAUACGAUUAGAUACCAU
rnacentral:rRNA from 1 species